rnacentral:rRNA from 1 species
GGGGCAAGCGUUGUCGGAAUAUUGGGCGUAAGAGCUCGUAGGUGGUUGGUCACGUCUGCUGUGGAAACGCAACGCUUAACGUUGCGCGUGCAGUGGGUACGGGCUGACUAGAGUGCAGUAGGGGAGUCUGGAAUUCCUGGUGUAGCGGUGAAAUGCGCAGAUAUCAGGAGGAACACCGGUGGCGAAGGCGGGACUCUGGGCUGUAACUGACACUGAGGAGCGAAAGCAUGGGGAGCGAACAGGAUUAGAUACCCUGGUAGUCCAUGCCGUAAACGUUGGGCACUAGGUGUGGGGGACAUUCCACGUUCUCCGCGCCGUAGCUAACGCAUUAAGUGCCCCGCCUGGGGAGUACGGUCGCAAGGCUAAAACUCAAAGGAAUUGACGGGGGCCCGCACAAGCGGCGGAGCAUGCGGAUUAAUUCGAUGCAACGCGAAGAACCUUACCAAGGCUUGACAUACACUGGACCGUUCUGGAAACAGUUCUUCUCUUUGGAGCUGGUGUACAGGUGGUGCAUGGUUGUCGUCAGCUCGUGUCGUGAGAUGUUGGGUUAAGUCCCGCAACGAGCGCAACCCUCGUUCUAUGUUGCCAGCACGUGAUGGUGGGAACUCAUAGGAGACUGCCGGGGUCAACUCGGAGGAAGGUGGGGAUGACGUCAAAUCAUCAUGCCCUUUAUGUCUUGGGCUUCACGCAUGCUACAAUGGCUGGUACAGAGAGAGGCGAACCCGUGAGGGUAAGCGAAUCCCUUAAAGCCAGUCUCAGUUCGGAUCGUAGUCUGCAAUUCGACUACGUGAAGUCGGAGUCGCUAGUAAUCGCAGAUCAGCAACGCUGCGGUGAAUACGUUCCCGGGCCUUGUACACACCGCCCGUCAAGUCACGAAAGUCGGUAACACCCGAAGCCGGUGUCCCAACCCCCUUUGUGGGGAGGGGGCCGUCUAAGGUGGGACUGGUGAUGGGACUAUAGAGGGGGGGCGCCGCGCGCGCGCGGA